UACAGAAGAUGCGAGCGUUGUUCGGAAUUAUUAGGCGUAAAGGGCGCAUAGGCGGUACCACAAGUCACUUGUGAAAUCCCCAGGCUUAACCUGAAGCCUGCAGACGAAACUGUGGUGCUGGAGUGUGGGAGAGGUGCGUGGAAUUCCCGAUGUAGCGAUGAAAUGCGUAGAUAUCGGAAGGAACACCUGUAGCGAAAGCGACGCACUGGACCAACACUGACGCUGAGGAGCGAAAGCCAGGGGAGCAAACGGG
rnacentral:rRNA from 1 species